rnacentral:misc_RNA from 1 species
GUAUAUUUCACUACUUUUCUGUUUGUGUAAUAAUCUCAAUAGGUACAAAGAUCUGAACAUUGUAUUAGCCUUCGAGAAAUCAAUAAACAGUAGCUGCUUAUGGAACGUUCUGAAACAGGAAUAGAGGGAGGAUGAGAACCACAGUCAUAUUUUAUUUCGAAUGACAUAAUUCAAAGUGAUCACUCGUUGCGAUAAAGGGAUAUCACCCAAACUAAUCAUAUACGUUCUGCAUCACACCUGGGUUAAGCAAUGACUCCUUUCCUGAAAGAAGUGUUACAGACAGUAGCAAACAACGUCAUCACGGUGAUAGUCUUCGCGAUAGCACUGUUGUUAAGCUCCCGAUGGUACAGACAUCGCAAUUUGCCCCCGGGACCAUGGGGACUUCCGUUCAUAGGCAUCAUACCAUUUGUUGGGACCCACCUUCACAAGACCAUGAUUACAUGGAGUAAAAAAUACGGCGAUGUCUUCAGUUUCUACCUCGGUCCCAAUCUAUCAUUGGCUAUACAUGGCGACACCUGUGUCACACCCGCACCAAAGAGACUUAAUGUACUUUUACGUUGGUCAGGUAUGAAAACAUUAAAGAGGCGUUUGUUAAACACGGUGACCAUUUUUCUGGAAGAGAACUGAUGUUUAUGGUAAAGGACACAAGGGGAAAAUACACAGGGGUUCUGAUAAACCAAGACAAGGCAUGGCAGCAGCAUAGGAGAUUCCUAGAACGAAUUUUUAGGGAGCUGGGCGUGGCUAAAUCUACAUGGGAGUCCAACAUCCACGAUGAACUGAAUCAUUUUCUCGCUGAAAUAACAAGUAAAAAUGGCGAAGCAUUUGACAUCCAUCAGUUGUUAAACAUGUCCGUGGCAAACGUCACUAAUAAAAUCAUUCUUGGCGAUAGAUUCGAAUAUUCGGAUGAGUCGUUCCAACGCCAUGUCAAGAUGAUUGAUGACAUCAUGAACAACUGGCAGUUGUCAGUCUUCUUCAACAUGUAUCCAUGGACACGUCUAUUACCAGGAGAUCCCACUAACUACUUUACGUUAAAGAAGUGUGAGCACUCUCGGCAAUACGACGUCAUACAACCAAUGAUUGACAAACGUAAAACCGAAUGUGAGAAAAAUGGUAGGAAAAAUGACAAAGAUAUCAUAGGAUAUUAUCUGAAUGCAUUGGAAGAGAAGGACAAACUGGUGAAAUAUUCCACAUUUGAAAUGUUGCAACUAAGAUGUAUCAUCGAUGAUUUGUUCUUCGCUGGCACGGAGACCACAAGCACGACCAUGCGAUGGGCAUUGUUAUAUAUGAUCAAAUACCCACACAUUCAAGAGAAAGUACGCCAAGAAAUAUUCGACAAUAUUGGAAAAGGUCGAUUGCCAAGUUUGAACGACCGUGAAAGUCUCCCGUAUACAGAAGCUGUACUUUUAGAAAUACAAAGAUAUAACUCUAUUGUCCCUCUGGCGGUGCCCCAUCAAACUACUGCAGAUGUUACAUUUAAGGGGUACCAUAUUCCAAAAGGAGUUCUUGUUUAUCCAAACCUCUGGGCAUUACACAGAGACCCUACAUUGUGGAAGAACCCGAAUAUUUUUGACCCUCUUCGUUUUUUAGAUGAAAACGGUCACGUGGUAAAGCCUCCACACUUUAUGCCAUUUUCAAUAGGAAAGCGGAUCUGUGCUGGAGAAGUCCUUGCAAAGUCUGAGAUGUUUCUCUAUUUUUCCACAAUGAUGCAACGCUUCAACUUCACAUUCCCAAAUGGACGGACAACGCCAUCUAUGGAAGGUGUAUUGGGUAUCACACUAUGUCCAGAACCUUUCAAAUUGUGCGCCACAAGAAUUUGAGCUGAAUAAAUCAUUUAAACAAUUUCUGAUACGUCUAUAUAUGUUGGGGUUAACACAAUCACAUCAUUAAUAUUUGUCUUCCAAGGUGGUCAUAAUAUUACAUGUUUGGGUCAUUGAAACUUGAGGAAUCAUGUCAAAUCUGGGUGUUGCUGAAAAUAUAUCUACCUAUGUGCAAAGUAUGACUUAUUUUACAAGGGCAACUGGAGAUAUUCAUAUUCAUAUGUAAUAUACCCACCGUCAACAACAAAGGUACAAACCGAAGAUAACUCUAUAGAUGAUACAAUCUGAACUGUUUCAUAUCCACAAAUCGUGACACUCACCACUCACAAAGAGGCUCACUGCCUUUCUAUCAAAAUUGAACAAAACAUAACCGUCAUUCUCACAAUCAAUGUCAAAAGCUUUCUGUAUAUUUGCCCAAAAGGCCCAAAGUUAAUUCGUGGUUUGCGCCAUUAAAACUGCUUUGGAGCAAAUGAUGGAAGAAAGUUACCUACGAUAGCUCAUCUUGGAUUUCCAAGGUAUGAUGUUUUCAUAAAUAGAAAAUCAAACUGGGAAACGAGUAUGCGAUAGCUAGGAUCAGUUGAAUUCUAAUUAGGUUAUAUACGGCACAACCAUUGUGAAAUAAGAUUCUUCGUCUUUAUUCUUUUAUGAAAUAUAUACAUAUUCUGAAAUCAACCUGUUGAUCACUGUUAGCACUAGUGGAACAAAAUAAUGGCUUUUGUUUCAAAUCAUCAUUCCAACCCGAUUGUAACAAUCUUCGAAAAGUUACCCUCAUUCGUCUCCGAAUCUUUAUUGCGCAUUUCUAAACUAGUCUUAUCUUAAGAUCAUUGCAUUCUGAUACUCAUAGCAUCUUUCUGUUUCACCGGAAACAUCU